GAUGAACGCUGGCGGCGUGCCUAAUACAUGCAAGUCGAGCGAACGGACGAGAAGCUUGCUUUUCUGAUGUUAGCGGCGGACGGGUGAGUAACACGUGGAUAACCUACCUAUAAGACUGGGAUAACUUCGGGAAACCGGAGCUAAUACCGGAUAAUAUUUUGAACCGCAUGGUUCAAAAGUGAAAGACGGUCUUGCUGUCACUUAUAGAUGGAUCCGCGCUGCAUUAGCUAGUUGGUAAGGUAACGGCUUACCAAGGCAACGAUGCAUAGCCGACCUGAGAGGGUGAUCGGCCACACGGGAACUGAGACACGGUCCAGACUCCUACGGGAGGCAGCAGUAGGGAAUCUUCCGCAAUGGGCGAAAGCCUGACGGAGCAACGCCGCGUGAGUGAUGAAGGUCUUCGGAUCGGAAAACUCUGUUAUUAGGGAAGAACAUAUGUGUAAGUAACUGUGCACAUCUUGACGGUACCUAAUCAGAAAGCCACGGCUAACUACGUG
rnacentral:rRNA from 1 species